rnacentral:lncRNA from 1 species
UUACAUGAGGCAAUGAAUGUUCAGUUCCAGGUACAGAAAUUUUAUGACACAUUUUACCUCUAUUCUAGUCCCAUUUGAGCCCUAUUUUAUAAUGAGGAAAUGGAAACUUAGAUAAUUUAGGCAGCUUUUGAAUGAAUGUUUGUAUUUCUUUCAGCUUUUCUUGCUGACUGCAAAUGCCCAGGUCCCACCAGCAUUUCUCUUUUUUUUUUUCAUGUAAGAAUCUAUUGAAUUCAUGCUGAGACUUAGGAUUUGGAAAGUUAAUUUCUCUUGUCUUUUACCUAAGUGCUUUGUCACUUAAAUCCUUUCCACAUUCUAAGGAAGUGUCCAUUUCUGAUGUUUUGGCAGUGGCAAAACCCAUAAAUCUUUCUGGCCUGAUGGGUAGAAGAGAUUCCCUGGGGGUUUGAAUGCCAUUGUUCAUGGGAUUAUUUAGAUUAUGAAUUGUGUUGUGACGGGGCUGAGAACCAGAUCCUAAGUGAUGGAAGUUACCAUAUGUUCCUUAAUAAAUUGUGUGUGGGUGUGGUGCAAGGUAUGGAUGGAGAUUCACAUUUUCUGCAUAUGGAUAUCCAAUUGUUCCAGCACCAUUUGUUGAAAAGACAAUCCCUUUUUGUCACUGAAUUACUUUUGCAUUUUUGUCAAAAAUCAAUUGACCAUAGCUGUAUAUGUCCAUUUAUGGACUCUAUUUUAUUUGAUUGAUCUGUUUUUCUAUUCUUACACUAUAUUAUUAUUUUUUUUACAAUGUCUUUAUUGUAGCUUAAUAAUGUCUUGAAAUUGGUUUGUAUAAGUGCUCCAACUUUGUUUCUAGUUUUCAAGGUAAUUUGUGUUAUUCGAAUUUUAGAAUCACUUUACCAAUUUCUACAAGAAAGCAAGCAGGAAUUUUAAUUGGGAUUGCAUUGAAUCUAUAGAUCAGUUUUGGAGAAUUGGCAUCUAACCAAUAUUGAGCCUUCUGAUUUAUGAACAGAUUAUUUAAGUUUUAUUAUUAUUUUGUCAGCAUGUUGUUUAGUCUUCAGUGUAUAGGUCUGAAUGUCUUUUGCCAAAUGUCUUCCUAUUUUAUAUUUUGAUACUAUGUAUAUGUACACACACACACACACAUAUAUAUAUGUGUAUAUAUAUGUAGAGAGAGAGAGAAAGGAAAGAAAGAAAGAAACAAGCAAACAGGGUCUUACCCUGUCACCCAGGCUGGAGUGCAGUGGCACCUCAUGGCCAACUGAAGCCUUAACUUCCUGGGUUCAAGUGGUCCUCCCAUCUCAGCCUCCUGAGUAUCUGGGACCACAGAUGUGUACCACCAUGCCCAGCUAAUUUUUACAUUUUUUUUAGAGAUGGGUUAUCAUUAUGCUGCGUAGGCUGGUCUCGAACUCCUGGGCUCAAUUGAUGCAACCAUCUCAGCCUCCCAAAGUAGUGGGAUUACAGGCAUGAGCCACUGUGCCCAGCCAAGUACAAUAUUUUUUAAACUUUAUAAUUGUUUAUGGCUAGUAUAUUAAAGUAGAAGUUAUUUUGUAUAGUGACUUUAUAUCCUAC